rnacentral:lncRNA from 1 species
AGAAAAAAUGGAAAACCAAUCAACAUACACCUUUAACAAACAUAUCAACAUGUAAAUAAAAUUUCUAUAUCUAGAAAAACUUAAAUAGGACAUUUAAAAAUACUUUAUUUUACUCAAAUUAAUAUCAUAAUAAAAAUAUAAAAGACAAGUUUAGUAUAUUCCACUCACAACGAUGAUGGUCAAGCUCAACUAUCGUUGACGUCAGUGGCUUGACUCACGUUCGCGGCUCCUCCUAAAUCAUGGAAAUGACAUAAUUAAUUUCCAAACGUGUGAAAUACAACUAACUUUAUGAGAUAUAGCUCGCAAUGAAUAUUUACCCCAUAACAUACAACUCCUGAAACCAUACUUGUAAGUUGAAAAUUAAUAUAACACCCUCAAAGCCAUAAAUUACAACUUAUGCGCAAAAUUCC